UUAACACAGGAACACUUGUGCCAUCUGAAGGAGGUGAGCCUUCGACACCUCAAUCACAGCAUUCGGUGCAGCUUAAUGUGUCAAUGGCUAGUCAGGAGCCUGCACCAGUGGCCAGCCAAGAGAUUGCACCAGAAACAUUACAGGAGUCUGCAGCUGUUAGCUCACAAGACUCUCGUCCAUCAAUUGAAAUAGAGAUUGAUUCUUUUGGGCAAAGGCGACUAGAACUUUGUAAUGGAAAGUUAUCAGAUGGUUCUAGGUGUGCUCGUGUGAUCACAAAUACUUUUAAGCAACGUAUUGACUCUAAUGGUGUCAACUGGAAGGCUAUAUAGCAAGAGACAAAAGAUUUCUAUUGGGAAGAAUUUAAGAAAAAAUAUUUUUGGGAUUCUUCUAAUGAAGCAGUGAUAAAGGAUGCUUGAAGAUUAAAGGCAGCCGAACGCUACAAGGACAUGAUGACAUAUUUGAAAAAUUCUAGGAAAAAGCCCUCAUAUAUUUCUGAAGAAACUUGGGAAAAUUUUGAGCAGUAUUGGAAUAAAGCCAAGGUCAUUCGGCUGUCAGAACUAUAUUCUAGAAAUUGUCGCGGUGCUGUAAAUGCUCCUGGACCAUCUACUCACACAGGCGGAUCCAUAACAUAUAUUGAAUGGGUGCUAUAGUAGCUAGGAGGGAGGAGCUAACACAAAUCACGUUUGACAACAUCGAUGAGAACUAACUUUACUUGGAUGUUGUUGGAGGCGGCGAGAAGAGACAAAAAGUGUAUAGUCUUGGAUCUGAAUCAUCUACCUUUUACCCUUCAAUUGGAGCAUCUUCGAGUCGAGCGUUUACAUCAAGCUCUAGUCAAAAUGCUGCCUUACAACAACGAAUAAAAGAGUUAGAGAAACAGCUUGAGAAUGAGAGGCAAGCUAUGACAGAUUGUAUGGACCAAUUGAAAUUGCAAAUGGAGUUGCAAAUGGAGACAAAUAUGGAACGUAUGAGAAGCUCUAUGAUGGAGGAGGUGAUGAGACUUGUACGAGGUCUACCAACACCUCCAUCUCCAUAAAAUUGUGGAUUUUAAAUUUUAUAUUUGACUUAUUGGAUUUUAGUUUUUUUUAUUUACAUAUAUAGAUUUUAUAUUUAAUUUGAUACAUUUAGUAAUUAUUUUUAUUGUUGAAUAUUAAUAUUAUUAUUAUUA